rnacentral:rRNA from 1 species
AGCUCGAUGAGUAGGGCGGGACACGUGGUAUCCUGUCUGAAUAUGGGGGGACCAUCCUCCAAGGCUAAAUACUCCUGACUGACCGAUAGUGAACCAGUACCGUGAGGGAAAGGCGAAAAGAACCCCGGCGAGGGGAGUGAAAAAGAACCUGAAACCGUGUACGUACAAGCAGUGGGAGCACAGAGCAAUCUGUGUGACUGCGUACCUUUUGUAUAAUGGGUCAGCGACUUAUAUUCUGUAGCAAGGUUAACCGAAUAGGGGAGCCGAAGGGAAACCGAGUCUUAACUGGGCGUUAAGUUGCAGGGUAUAGACCCGAAACCCGGUGAUCUAGCCAUGGGCAGGUUGAAGGUUGGGUAACACUAACUGGAGGACCGAACCGACUAAUGUUGAAAAAUUAGCGGAUGACUUGUGGCUGGGGGUGAAAGGCCAAUCAAACCGGGAGAUAGCUGGUUCUCCCCGAAAGCUAUUUAGGUAGCGCCUCGUGAAUUCAUCUCCGGGGGUAGAGCACUGUUUCGGCAAGGGGGUCAUCCCGACUUACCAACCCGAUGCAAACUGCGAAUACCGGAGAAUGUUAUCACGGGAGACACACGGCGGGUGCUAACGUCCGUCGUGAAGAGGGAAACAACCCAGACCGCCAGCUAAGGUCCCAAAGUCAUGGUUAAGUGGGAAACGAUGUGGGAAGGCCCAGACAGCCAGGAUGUUGGCUUAGAAGCAGCCAUCAUUUAAAGAAAGCGUAAUAGCUCACUGGUCGAGUCGGCCUGCGCGGAAGAUGUAACGGGGCUAAACCAUGCACCGAAGCUGCGGCAGCGACGCUUAUGCGUUGUUGGGUAGGGGAGCGUUCUGUAAGCCUGUGAAGGUGUGCUGUGAGGCAUGCUGGAGGUAUCAGAAGUGCGAAUGCUGACAUAAGUAACGAUAAAGCGGGUGAAAAGCCCGCUCGCCGGAAGACCAAGGGUUCCUGUCCAACGUUAAUCGGGGCAGGGUGAGUCGACCCCUAAGGCGAGGCCGAAAGGCGUAGUCGAUGGGAAACAGGUUAAUAUUCCUGUACUUGGUGUUACUGCGAAGGGGGGACGGAGAAGGCUAUGUUGGCCGGGCGACGGUUGUCCCGGUUUAAGCGUGUAGGCUGGUUUUCCAGGCAAAUCCGGAAAAUCAAGGCUGAGGCGUGAUGACGAGGCACUACGGUGCUGAAGCAACAAAUGCCCUGCUUCCAGGAAAAGCCUCUAAGCAUCAGGUAACAUCAAAUCGUACCCCAAACCGACACAGGUGGUCAGGUAGAGAAUACCAAGGCGCUUGAGAGAACUCGGGUGAAGGAACUAGGCAAAAUGGUGCCGUAACUUCGGGAGAA